rnacentral:tRNA from 1 species
UCCGCCGUCGUUCAAUGCUAGGACGCAACUUUGGUAAAGUUGCAAUCGAGGUUGGAUUCCUCGCGGUGGAACCA